rnacentral:tRNA from 1 species
AAAAGUUUAGUUUAAUGGUUAAAAUAUUGAAUUUCAAAUUCAAGGAUUAAAGGUUCGAUUCCUUUAACUUUUG